rnacentral:rRNA from 1 species
UACGUAGGGUGCAAGCGUUAAUCGGAAUUACUGGGCGUAAAGCGCGUGUAGGCGGCUUUGCAAGUCGGGUGUGAAAUCCCUCAGCUCAACCGAGGAAGUGCGCCCGAAACUGCUUAGCUUGAGUGCCGGAGAGGAUGGCGGAAUUCCCCAAGUAGAGGUGAAAUUCGUAGAUAUGUGGAGGAAUACCGAUGGCGAAGGCAGCCCCCUGGGAUAACACUGACGCUCAUGCACGAAAGCGUGGGGAGCAAACAGG